rnacentral:rRNA from 1 species
UAAUAAAAUCUUAAUAAUUUUUUUUAUUUAAUAAUUUUUUUAAAUAAAAUAUUUAUAUUUAUAAUUCGUUUUAUUAUAUUUUAUAGAAAAAAUAAUUUUUUUUAUAGUUUAAUAUUAUUGAAAAAGAAAGAUUUAAUAUUUAUUUAUAUUAAAAAAUAAUAAUUUAUUUUUUGUAUUUUGGGUAUCAAAGUUUAUUAAUAAAAUAAAUAAAUAAUUAUUUAUUCUCGAAAAUUAAUUAUUUAAUAAGUAAAAAUUUUAAUGUAAAAAAAUUAUUUUUUAUUAUUUAUUAAAAAUGAAAAGUUAUUUGUAUUAAUUUAUAUCUGGUUUUUUUAGAAAUAAAUUUAAUUUAAUUAAUUUAUUUAAUAUUUAUAUAUAUAUAUAAGUUUAUAUAAAUAUUAAAUAAAUUAAUUAAUAUUAUAAGGGAUAAUCUUUAUAAUAAAUUGUUAUAUUAAAAAUUUAAUUUAUAAAAAUUAUAUAAUUAAAAUUGUUUUUUAUAUGUAUUUUUUUAUAAAAAUUUUUAUAAAAUAAAUUAUUUUUUUUUAAUUAAUUUUAUAUAAAAAAAAAUAAUUUAAUAUUAAAAUUAUUAUUAAUAUGAUAAAAUUAGUAUAAAAUUUUUUAAUUAAUAAAAUUUUAUUAAAUUAAAAUUAAUAAAUUAGGCAAAAUUUAUUUUUAACUGUUUAACAAAAACAUUUCUUUAUGAUAAUUAUUUAUAUAAAGUAAAAUCUGUCCACUGAAUAAUAAAAUUUGAAGGACUGCAGUAUAUUAACUGUGCUAAGGUAGCAUAAUAAUUAGUUUUUUAAUUGAAAACUUGAAUGAAUGAUUAAAUAAAAAAUAAACUUUAUUUAAUUUUAAAUUUAGAAUUUUAUUUUUUAGUGAAAAAGCUAAAAUUUUUUUUAUAGACAAGAAGACCCUAUAAAUCUUAAAAUUUUAUUUGUAUUUUUUUAUAAUUAAAAUUUUUAAUUGGGGUGAUUAUAAAAUUCAAUAAACUUUUAUAUUUUUUAUUCAUAAAUAAGUGAUUAUUUGUUCUUAAAUAUAAAUUUUUAAAUUAAGUUACUUUAGGGAUAACAGCAUAAUUUUAAUUUAAAGUUCUUAUUUAAAUUAAAGAUUGUGACCUCGAUGUUGGAUUAAGAAAAUAUUUAAAUGAAAAAGUUUAAAAAUUUAGUCUGUUCGACUAUUAAAUUCUUACAUGAUCUGAGUUCAAACCGGCGUAAGCCAGGUUGGUUUCUAUCUUAAAUUAGUAAUAUAUAUAUAUUAGUACGAAAGGAAUAUAUAUUUAAAUUUUUUUUUAUAUAGAAUAAUAUUAAU